rfam:Salmo salar isolate Sally breed double haploid chromosome ssa01, whole genome shotgun sequence.
UAGCUCAGUUGGCAGAGCAUGGUGUUUGCAACGCCAGGGUUGUGGGUUCGAUUCCCAC